GAUCAGAGGUGCUGGGACAGUCUGUCCUCUGUGGGAGCAUUCACAUGCCUUUACUGAGGGGUGAACCACAGUAGUGGAGCCCCUUGGGGAUGUCCUGGAGAAAGGUGAUUUCCCUCAUCCAUCUCAGCCAAUGCCAGCCCUCCCAUUGGCAGCUCAGGCUCCAGGCCCUGCCCCUCACCUAUACCAUCUUGAUUUUGGGGUUCUAGGCGAUGGUAUAAAAUCCCCUCAAAGUGCUCAGAACCUGUAUGAGAGUCCUGUCCCGUAUCUCAUGGAAAGGAUGGACUGGCACAGCUCAGUCACCGGUCUGUCUUCUAGCUCCUUCUACCCUGUCUCUGUCACCACCAGUUACUCAACCCACACCAGACAGCUCACAUCCAACACACAAAUAACCGCCACAGCAGAAGGAAGCCAGGAAGGAAUCAAAGCUUCUGAAAACUCUGGUUUAUGCCCACUCACACCCAGGGAACUUGCCACACCGUCUCCAGAGUCAGGACAAACCCAGGAGAACCCAAACCAGCCACUGCCCCAACCCUUUGAACUCCAACACUAGGGAAGCCAAUUACAGAAGCCCACAAGCAAUCACAAUAAUCAGAUGUUUGCUGAGCACUGCUGCUCAAGUACUAGGCUGGACAGAAUCUUCUCUGCUUUAAGCUACUAGAUCCUCCCAGCAGUACCUACCUACCAUUGCGACUCCCAUCUCACUGAUAAGAAAACUGAGAUCCAGCCCUCAGUAAAUUGUGGGGGCGGGAGGGUUUGGUGGCACAGGCCUGUAAUCCCAGCUAGUCAGGAGUCCGAGAGAGAAACAAAAAGAGUUUAGAUUCAAGUCCUGCCUGGGCUACAAACUGAAUUCAAGGCAACCUGGGAAAUUUAGUAAAACUAUCCCAAAAUAAGUAAUAUAGAAAAGAUGUGAGAUGUGAUCAGUGGUGGAGAACUUACAAAGAAAAGGGGGGUAGGCUGGAGAGAGCACUCCAGGGUUAGGAGCAGUUGUUCCUGCCGAGGACAUGGGUGGGUUCCCAGGACCCACAUGGCAGCUCACCACCACCUAUAACUCCAGCCACAGGGGAUCUGAUGCCCACCCUCUUCUAACCAGGAACACAUUCCAUGCAGAGACAUAUAUGGGAGCAAAACAUUCACACAUAUAAAAUUAAUAAAUCUAAAAAAGAGAUGCUGGCCCAAGGUGAGCCAGCUAACACCUUGCUCCGGUCAAAGUUUGUAAGGAAUUGUUAGACCCUUGGAGCUAGAAGGCACCUCAGCCACCAGGUGCCACACCCCAUUCUGUUCAGAUCUAGGGAAACUGAGAUCUAGAGAAAACAAGCAGCCCCUAGGUGACACAGGCUCAAUUGCUCUCAGGCCCCUUCCGUACUAAAUGUGCAGAAACCACCCUGCUACCAGCAUCUCCAGCACUGGGUUGGAACAAGUCCUUGCUUGCCAGAGGCUUUGAAAUCUCAGGAUGAAAGAUGCCGGGGCAGCAAACCUGCACCCUGGCACCCACCCUUACACUCAGGAGCCUCCCUGGCGAGCCUGCCCUGGGAUCUAGGGCAUCUGAAGAGGGAUUAUUAAUAGCACUUUCAAGUGUUUGGAGGAAAGCCUCAACUACAGAACCUAGAAAGGUCUGUGCUGCCUGGGGAAAGGACAGCAAGAGCCAGCUGGGCCCCACCACGACCUGACCGGCUCCUCAGCCAAGCUAGAGGCCUGGGCCAGGUGGAGGACAGUGACUGGUAGCCUGUCCCUAGCCUUCAUGGUACACCCAGGCCCAGAGCCUGGGGCACAUAAACUUCCCAGAACACAUGUCAGGUCCCUGGCACAAGGACCCUUUCCUCUUGGCUUAAAACUCUGUUGUCUGCCAUUCAACUACCCCGAGCUCCCAUGACCUCAAAAGUGGGAAAAUUCUACCUGGUGGUGGUGGUGGUGGUGCAUGCCUCUAAUCUCAGCACUCAAGAGGCAGAGGCAGAGGCAGGUGGAUCUCUGAGUUCGAGGCCAGCCUGAUCUGCAGAGUGAGUUCCAGGACUGCCAGGGCUAUACAGAGAAACCCUGUCUCGAAAAACCAAAAAAAAAAAGAAAAGAGAGAAGAGAAAAGAAAAGAAAAGCCAGCAAAAAUAAAAAUGAAAAGGUUCUGUAAACUGUAGGGUGCUGUACCUGCAUGUCACCUCUGGUCUUGAAAUCUGUCCCUAACAAUUGUAGAUUGGAUACACUCAGAAACAUUGACUGUAUAAAUAAAUAAAUAAAUAAAUAAAUAAAUAAGGAA